rnacentral:rRNA from 1 species
AUUGAACGCUAGCGGGAUGCCUUACACAUGCAAGUCGAACGGAGUGGCGAACGGGUGAGUAAUGUAUCGGUACGUGCCCACUAGCGGGGGAUAAAUACGCGAAAGCGUAGCUAAUACCGCAUAUUCUUGGUGCGGUCGAUAUCGGAUGAGCUAGUUGGUGGGGUAACGGCUCACCAAGGCGACGGUCCGUAGCUGGUUUGAGAGGACGACCAGCCACACUGGGACUGAGACACGGCCCAGACUCCUACGGGAGGCAGCAGUGGGGAAUAUUGGACAAUGGGCGAAACCCUGAUGCAGCCAUCCCGCGUGUGCGAUGAAGGCCUUCGGGUUGUAAAGCACUUUUGGCAGGGAAGCGGUACCUGCAGAAUAAGCACCGGCUAACUACGUGCCAGCAGCCGCGGUAAUUC